rnacentral:rRNA from 1 species
CCUACGGGCGGCUGCAGUGGGGAAUAUUGGACAAUGGGCGAAAGCCUGAUCCAGCCAUGCCGCGUGUGUGAAGAAGGCCUUCGGGUUGUAAAGCACUUUCAGUGGGGAAGAAAGCCUUGGGGCUAAUACCCUCGAGGAAGGACAUCACCCACAGAAGAAGCACCGGCUAACUCCGUGCCAGCAGCCGCGGUAAUACGGAGGGUGCGAGCGUUAAUCGGAAUUACUGGGCGUAAAGCGCGCGUAGGCGGUCUGAUAAGCCGGUUGUGAAAGCCCCGGGCUCAACCUGGGAACGGCAUCCGGAACUGUCAGGCUAGAGUGCAGGAGAGGAAGGUAGAAUUCCCGGUGUAGCGGUGAAAUGCGUAGAGAUCGGGAGGAAUACCAGUGGCGAAGGCGGCCUUCUGGACUGACACUGACGCUGAGGUGCGAAAGCGUGGGUAGCAAACAGGAUUAGAUACCCCGGUAGUC